rnacentral:rRNA from 1 species
AAUGGUUUUUUGUUUAAAUGUUUUUCGCCUAAGGAUGGGUCUGCGGCCGAUUAGGUAGUUGGCUAGGUAACGGCUUACCAAGCCAUUGAUCGGUACGGGUUGUGAGAGCAAGAGCCCGGAGAUGGAACCUGAGACAAGGUUCCAGGCCCUACGGGGUGCAGCAGGCGCGAAACCUCCGCAAUGUGAGAAAUCGCGACGGGGGGAUCCCAAGUGCCAUUCUUAACGGGAUGGCUUUUCAUUAGUGUAAAGAGCUUUUGGAAUAAGGGCUGGGCAAGACCGGUGCCAGCCGCCGCGGUAACACCGGCAGCUCUAGUGGUAGCAGUUUUUAUUGGGCCUAAAGCGUCCGUAGCCGGUUUAAUAAGUCUCUGGUGAAAUCCUGUAGCUUAACUGUGGGAAUUGCUGGAGAUACUAUUAGACUUGAGACCGGGAGAGGUUGGAGGUACUCCCAGGGUAGAGGUGAAAUUCUGUAAUCCUGGGAGGACCGCCUGUUGCGAAGGCGUCCAACUGGAACGGUUCUGACGGUGAGGGACGAAAGUUAGGGGCGCGAACCGGAUUAGAUACCCGGGUAGUCCUAACUGUAAACGAUGCGGACUUGGUGUUGGGGUGGCUUUGAGCUGCUCCAGUGCCGAAGGGAAGCUGUUAAGUCCGCCGCCUGGGAAGUACGGUCGCAAGACUGAAACUUAA